UGCCCCGUGGCUGAGUUGGUUACAGCGGUUGACUGUUAAUUGAUCAUCCUCAAUAAGGAUGAUUAUGUAAUAAUGAUCAGACGGUCGAGAGUUCGAGUCUCUCCGGGGCAG